rnacentral:tRNA from 4 species
GGGCGCGUAGCUCAGUUGGUUAGAGCGCUACGUUGACAUCGUAGAGGUCACAGGUUCGAAUCCUGUCGCGCCCA